AUUGAACGCUGGCGGCAUGCCUUACACAUGCAAGUCGAACGGCAGCACGGGCUUCGGCCUGGUGGCGAGUGGCGAACGGGUGAGUAAUACAUCGGAACGUGCCCUGUCGUGGGGGAUAACUAGUCGAAAGAUUAGCUAAUACCGCAUACGACCUGAGGGUGAAAGCGGGGGACCGUAAGGCCUCGCGCGAUAGGAGCGGCCGAUGUCUGAUUAGCUAGUUGGUGGGGUAAGAGCCCACCAAGGCGACGAUCAGUAGCUGGUCUGAGAGGACGAUCAGCCACACUGGGACUGAGACACGGCCCAGACUCCUACGGGAGGCAGCAGUGGGGAAUUUUGGACAAUGGGGGCAACCCUGAUCCAGCAAUGCCGCGUGUGUGAAGAAGGCCUUCGGGUUGUAAAGCACUUUUGUCCGGAAAGAAAUCGCGCUGGUUAAUACCUGGCGUGGAUGACGGUACCGGAAGAAUAAGCACCGGCUAACUACGUGCCAGCCGCCGCCGUAAAAC
rnacentral:rRNA from 1 species